rnacentral:rRNA from 1 species
CAUACGGGAGGCAGCAGUGGGGAAUUUUCCGCAAUGGACUGCAAGUCUGACGGAGCGACGCUGCUGAUGAAUGGAUGACGGUCCCGCGGUGUUGUAAACUUCUUUUCUCGCACAGAAGAAACAAAUGACGGUAUUCGAGGAAUAAGCAUCGGCUAACCUCCGUGCCAGCAGCCGCGGUAAAGACGGAGGAUGCAAGUGUUAUUCGGAAAUGAUUGGGCGUAAAGAGUCUGUAGGCCCGUAUAGAAAGUCUUAUUUGUUAAAACUGCCUCGUGCUCAACCGAGAUCCAGCAAAGGAAAUUUCUAUACUUGACGGGAAGUAAGCAGGUACAAGGGAAAUUCCCGGUGGAGGCGGUGAAAUGCGUAGAUAUCGGGAGGAACACCAAUAUGGCGAAGGCAACUGUAACUGGGCUUUUCCUUGAACGCUGAG